GUCGGAGAUCCGUCACCGGAGAUGGCCUGCAGCCGUCGUCUGUCGCCCGGAGGUUGAGGCGUCGUACCUCCAUGGCUAGGCUAGGCUAGGGUUUCUGGCAUCUCCGUCCUGGCUUCUGUCGGCCCUGGAUGGAUGGUCGCGGCUCAGGUCGACGACGGGACGAUGCGCCGUGGAUCUGGAUCUGGGCGCUCCUCACCUCCCUGGAAGCUCGCCGGAGAAGGCCUUCCCUUCCCUCCCCUCCUCUCCUCUACUGGGAGAGAAGAGGAGAGAAGAGAAGAGAAGGUGAGGUGCGGCGGCGCUGCAGGGAGAGGAGGCCGCCAUGACCGGGCUCCUCCUGCUGCCAUGGUCGCCAUGGCAUCGGGCUAGGGUCUCGGCCCGACCAGGCAGACAGAGGAGAGGAUAGGGAGGUCGCCGGCGCGGCGUGGAUGGGGAGAGGAGGCCGCCGGAGAGGUGAUGCGGAAGAGGAGAUCGGCGGCGGCGUUGGGUCAGAGCCGGAGGAGAGGCGGGUGGCUGUGUC
rnacentral:rRNA from 1 species